CAAAAUCGUCGAUUUCAAAAAAAAUGGUUCAAUCAGUUUCGGUGGUUGGAGUAUUCGCCUUCAACAAAUAAAACAUAUUGUUUUUGCUGUUUUUUGUUCUCAAAUGUUGCUAAUUUAUCCAAUAGUUCGGCAUUGGUCACAGAUGGAUUUAACAAUUGGAAGAGGGUUAACCAAGGAGACAAAUGUGCAUUUCUUACUCACAUGGGUUCAACACCUUCAUCAUUUCAUAAUGUGUGUGUAAGAAGAGUUGAAGAUUUAAUGAGACCAUCGGGACAUAUUGAUAAAGUGAUGAAUGCUAUAACAAGAGAGGAAGUUCUAAAAAAUCGACUACGUCUGAAGACUACAAUUUUAAGUGUAAAGUGGCUAGCACUUCAAGGUUUUGUUUUCAUAGGUCAUGACGAAUCUUCAUCAUCGUUGAACCGUGGAAAUUUUAUUGAACUGGUGAAAGCUUUUGCAAAAAUGAAUAUAGAAAUUGGAGAAGUUGUAUUGGAUAAAGUUCCUCAAAAUGCUACGUACACUAGUCCAAAUGUUCAGAAAGAAAUUUUGCACAUUAUGGCUAAUAGAAUAGGAUAGAUGAUUCAUGAGGAGCUUGGAGAAAAUUGUUUUUGUAUUCUCGUUGAUGAAGGGCAAGACGAAUCUAAAAGAGAACAAAUGUCCAUUAUCUUGUGAUUUGUGAACAAUGAUGGUUUUAUAAUAGAACGUUUCUUUGCGAUCAAAAGCAUGAGUAACACUACAUUAUCGAAUCUAAAAAAUGAGAUAUGUGAUGUUCUUGUUCGUCAUGACCUUCAGGUUAAAAAAAUUAGAGGGCAAGGCUAUAUGGUGCUAGCAAUAUGCGUGGUACUUGGAACGGACUUCAAACAUUAUUUCUUAAAGAAUGUCCAUAUGCUUACUAUAUCCACUGUUUUGCCCACCGACUACAACUGACAUUGGUUUCUGCAGUCAAGGAUGUGAUUUGUAUUUGGAAAUUCUUUUCUCAUUUGGACAAUAUUGUUAUUAUUAUUACUUCUUCUCCUAAGCGCAUUAAUGCAUUACAAACUGCUCAAAGAAGAGAGCUUGAGGAUAUGUUGGCUAGUGGAGAACGACAAUGUGGAAGUGGGAUUAAUCAAAUUGGUAAUUUGCAAAAAUCAGGCUCUACUCAUUGGAGUUCACAUUAUGAAUCAGUAAAGAGUUUGAUAGAUAUGUACGCUGCAACUUGCAAUGUACUUGAGCAUCUUAUAGUUCAUUCUCCAGAUGGAAGAUCUCGUGCUGAGGCUCAUGGUGUUUAUGAAACCAUUAGAAGCUUUGAAUUUGUAUUCUCAUUGCAUUUAAUGCAUAAAAUUUUGGGAUUUAGUGACAUACUUUCUCAAGCUCUUCAAAAAAGAUCUCAAGACAUCCCGACGGCUAUCAGAUUUGUCUCCACCAUAAAAGGUCUCCUUCAAGAAUUUAGAAAAGAUGGCUGGGAAGAAUUUCUUAAUGAGGUGAAAACUUUCUGUUUAAGAAAUGAUGUUGAUAUACCCGACCUAAACUUGUUUUAUAAGAUUGGUCGUCCUCGUGAAGAAGUUAUGCUUGAGCGUCAUUACCACUUUAAUGUUUUUAAUGAAGCCAUAGAUUUCCAACUGAUGGAGUUAAAUACAAGAUUUAAUGAACUAUCAGUAGAACUCCUUUCUCUCACUAUUGCUUUGGAUCCUCGAAAUUCUUUUGAAUCAUUCAAUGGUGACGAUAUUUGCAAGCUUGCAGAGAAGUUCUAUCCUUGUGAUUUUUCACAGCAAGAGCUUCAUUCUUUGAGGUUUGAGUUGAAACAUUAUGAGUAUGAUGUGAUUCGUGAUCCUCG
rnacentral:lncRNA from 1 species